AUUUUUAUGCACACAUCACUCCUCACAACAAAAGGGUAAUGUUGGCGCCCCUGCGCCUUGAAAGUAUCGAGUGUCGGUGUCACUCCGCCGCCUAUCGUCCCUUUUGCUAAUUAGAGAUUUUGGUUGCCUAGUUCCGCCAUGGAUGGCGUAGGCAUGUCGAUUGGCACCCGGUUUUCCCCCGCCCUUCCUUCGUCUAUUUUUGGCGCGCCUCGAUGCCGCGUUGCCAGCGCUCUCUGAGGCCUUCCCCCCCCCUCUCUCUCAGGAGCCUUACUGGUUGGAUUCUGUCGUCUUCCGACUCUUGCUCGACUACCUGCGUGUUCGUGUGUUUUUUCGUUCGUCUUGAAGUCUCUCGGUUUUGUUGCUACAAGUUCAAGGUCAUGUUUCGACCCCUCAUGGAAAGCUAAGCUUUCAUCUAUGACUUCAUGAGCAAGUCUGGUCACCCAGGAAUAAUGGUUCGAUGGUUUCUGCACACUAAAACUCAAUGGUAAGCCUUCAUGUUUCACUCAGACAUACUUAGUAACUUAUGAUGAUCAAUGUACUAUGUGCUCCCACCCCCGUCCCAUUUCAGGCUCAACUAAGUCCAAACCUUAGGCCCCCAAAGAUACAGUCCACUUAAUCUAUUUAUAUCGGAAAAUCAGCCCUAAGAUCGAUUUUACAUUUCGAUUUUAUAGCGGCCCAAACAGGUAAUUUUGUGCUGCCAGUCAUUUUAGGAUUUUCGUUACAUCUCUAAUUCUAAUUAUCGGGGCCUGAAUUUAUUUCGUUGACCCGUCGAUGGCAAGUUACGAAACUUAUAACCUGUGAAUUUGACUUAAGGUCGGGAAAAUUAUGAACUUAACUAAAGCUGUAGACAAGUUAAGCUUUUCUACAUCAGGCUCGAGCCACACUUAGUUCCUCAACAGUGCAAACUAUUAAUCAGCGACGGAAUAGCAAAGUUCCCAUCCCUCCAUAAACUUGCAGCCAAUUGCAAACCUGCUUUAAAAAUUCGGACCUUGAUCAAAAAGUAUUUCUUUUCCAACCAUUUUAGACAAAAGGAUGUUUUAGAAGGGGCAAAAGUUGGAUUUUUUGGUACAAUUUCAGUGUCAUCACACCUGUAACACCCCGUUAUUUUGUUAUAAUAGCAUAAGUGCCCUUGCUCCCUUAGAAACAAUGCAUAAAGUUACUAAGGCCUCUUCCCAUCUGUGACGAGAAUUUCAAAGACGAAGCAAAUUCAGUGCCUUGAACGUUCCUUCACGCCGAGAUGAGGAAAUGGGAGGAUGUGAAGCGAAGUAUGAGAGAUCAUAAAUAUGACGUCGUAAAUUGAGCUGAAUCUGAGGGCAUAUGCCUGGAGGGUGGGAAUAAGGCGACAGGAAGGGGGUAAAAUUAUAAUAUCAUUAAAAAUUGUUAACAACGUCUAUGGGCUCAGGCUUCUGGAAUAGUAAAUUUUCCAGGGCCUAUAAACACUGUUUUACAACCGUAAUAACUUUUUUAUCGUGUUCUCAACAACGGAUUAAGGGAUGAUCAUUAAUAUUCAAACAUACGCUUGUUCAUCGAUUUGAUACUGACAUACUCUAAGGGACAACGAGAGCAAAAUGUUGGCACUUCCCGGUUUCAUUGGUAUUCGUUCCCCUAUAUUGUUACAGCGUGGGAAACCUCGCAAAAUUAAAAAAUGAAUUUUUUCUUGCAUCAGUGGAAAAAUUUCAGAGCUGCUACAUGCUAACAAAGGUUUGCUUAUCGUGUAAGCUAGGAUGGAGGGAACAACAAUUCACGAGAAGCUCUUUCUUCGAAAAAGUGCGCGACUAUUACAAAACUUUGAUGUUAUAAUGACGUCUACCAUUGGCGGGUCCAUGAUAGAGACCGUACGCUCCUCUCCCCUCCCCCGGUUCGCUUGAAAAAGAGGAAGAAGUAAAAGGGGAGAAAGGGAAAGGGAACGAACGGAUGAAAGAAGAAAAAAGGACGCUUAUAUUUGGUAACUAUUUAUGACGAAAUUGGCUCAGACUGCGCGGUAGAUGCUUUAAAAUUUCGAACAUUGUCGCGUAGAGGCCCCCCGGACCCCCCUCUCGAAAUGUCUAGACCCGUCUAGGGUAGGGCAGUGCUUCAAUUUCCCGGAACUAGUACCAAAUUCCGGAACUUUUGAGAUUUUCCUGAAUUUUCCAUAGAACUUUUGAAAUUCCCGGAUUGUUUAGGAUUUUUUGCAUGUUCCGAAACUUUUUCGAACCUUUUAAGAAAAUCUAAAAGUCGGUGACUCAUUUUUGCCAAAAUUUUCAGUUAGGCGGUAUUGUUCCUCAGCCAUCGAUAUACGAUAUUUGAAAUAGAUUUACGGCGUCUCUGCUGUAGACGGCGGAACUAGUGACGGCCGUUUUCGGUAGGAUGUUUGGUAAAAAGAGUAAAAACUAUAAAAGCUUUCCUUUUGUGCACCUGGGGAGAGACUAAAGGUUGAGGUACUCCUCGGGUCCAGAUUCCAGUCGGCGGGAAUCGGAAAGGAUUAAUAAUUCACAGGGCCCGGGGUCGGUGCCAUUGAAGAAGAGCCCGGUGUUGCGCUCGGGGGAAGGAAAGCGAUCAGACAUAAAAAUGGGCCCAAGGAAGAGACCGAUAAAAAAGGGCCGAAGACGGCGCAGCGCGGGCCAUAAGCGGGAAUAAGAAAACAAAUUACCCAACGAGGGCCGCAUCCGAUAUUCCGGCGCGAUCCUUUAUUUUUCCGAUCGGGAUGAGAAUGUGAUCUAACUGCCGGGCAAUCGGCUGCAUUAUUCAACGGCCGCAGUUUCCGGAGCUGCAACAAAUACAGGGUGUCUAACAAGUUCAAGCCUCUGCCUUCUUCUGGCACCUUUUUCUACCUCGGUGCUCCAAUUCCAAAAGUUCCGGGACUCGGAACUUUUUUUCCUCCAAUUUUUCAUUCCACGACCAUCAAAAGUUCCGGGAUUCUUUUACGAUUUUCUUAAAAGUUCCGGAAAAUGCAAAAGAUCCGAAAUAAUCCGGGAAUUUUGAAAGUUCGCGGGAAAAUUCAGGAAAAUCUCAAAAGUUCCGGAAUUUGGUACUAGUUCCGGGAAAUGGGAGCGCUGCUCUACCUCAGGCGGGUCUAAACAUUUCGAAAGGGGGUGAAAGGGGGGUCCGGGGGGCCUCUGCCCGACAUUAUUCGAAAUGUUAAAGCAUCUAACGCGUAGUCUGAGUCAAUUUUGUCAUGAAUAAUUACCAAAUAUGAGCGUCUUUCCUUCUUCUUUCCUCCAUUCCUUUCUUUUUUCUUUCUUCCCUUUUCCGUCUUUCUCUUUUUUGAGCUAGGCUCAACAUGUAUUUCAUAACAAAAACUCUGACUAGGACAUCUUCCUUCUUUGAUUGAAAAGAUAACGCAAUAAUGAAUUGUGAUGAUGAAACGGAAAACAAUCACAAUAAAAUAGGUAACCAAAGCUGAAAACAAAACAAGAUGACGGUUCCAACGUCUUAACGUUGGAGAGCGUUCACCGUAGCACCUCGUCAAUGUGAAUAAGCGGUUUUGCGCGGACGGAAGAGAGCGCUGCAAGACGCUGUUGAACUAAACGUGGAGCGUAACCUAGGAAACAGACAUUAUACAAGAAUCAUAGAGUAAAAUAUAGGGGUCAUGUUGUAAAGGGGGACUUGGUACCCAAACAUUUUUCUAGAAUUACGACGACAAAAAAUUUGAACGAUGCUUGAAAGAGUCAUUAAAUAAAAGUACGUUGCAGAGUUUUAAAAUGUAAAAAUAGUAAUUUCUCAAAGAUAAGCCUACUUGCAUUACAUAAAGUGGACAAAAUAGGAGAAAAAAGGUAGAAAUGGUACAUAAAUAAAAUUGAGAAACUAGGUAUUGCUUCCCGCCACGAAAAAUGGCGCCGAUUCCCAUAAAGCAGUGCGGGCUAUUACCAAUGGAUCCAUUAGUAACAUACCCGCUGCAAAACGGGCGGAAAGAGCGUACACUACUAAAGUGGUGAACGCUCAAAAUGCCUGGGAUGUCUCAGGGUGGACUCAACCCCAUUAUUGACUGGGAAACAAAAGUACAAAAUA
rnacentral:lncRNA from 1 species